AUCCCGUCUCACAAAUCAUGUCCAAACGAGCGCUAAAAACACAGGCUUUACCCGGAAGCGACGAAUCAUAGGGACGACAUGCCCAAAACCUACGCUUAAAUAGCGUUCCUGCCUCCAUUUCUCAGAGUUAAAAACUUUGUACCCCUUUUUGAGCGGCUGUGGCGCCUGUGCUCGUCAAGAAUCAGAAGAUCCACUCAGCAAUAAUGCCUGUAACUAAAGCAACAAAGAAGCAAGAAAAAACAGGGUUGAAAACAGAUGACGACCCUCAUUAUGGACUAAAAAUAAACAAGAUCAUUGAUGCUGCCGUGAACAAGUAUACAACCUUAUUUACCUACAAUGCCCUUAGACCUGCUCUCAGGAACCACAUUGAACAAUAUGUUUGUAAGAAGCUCUCUGAUUUGCACACCCCUGAUCACCCCACCUAUGCUCUGAUGAUACGAAGGGCGAUCGAAGGAUUGAAUGAGGAGGGAUCGACUGAGGAAGCAAUAUCAAUGUUUAUUAAAAAAGAUGUUAAGGAUCUGCCAUGGGCUCAUGAAAGUUUUUUGAGGCAUCAUUUGAAAAAGCUUACUGAGACGGGGGAGAUUGUAAAAACUUCUGAAAACUAUUAUAUGCUUCCUGUUGAAAACGGUAAUUUUUAUAUCGAAGGAAAGCAUGGGCAGUUGAAUGGAACUGAAGACCAAAUUGAUACAUUAGAAGAACAAAAGCCUGCAGCAGAGCGAAGUGAACAAGAGCCAAAGGUCAAUGAAAUGGGAGAUAAAAACCAAGUUUUAGAAGAUGUUCAAUUGCUUGAGGAACACGUAGGAAAACACAAUGAAGCAAAACUGCUCAAAUUUGAAUUGAUUAAUGAACAAAUUGAAGGACAGAAAGUUGAAGUGAUUCCAGAGUUAUGCCCUUCUCAAGAGCUGCAAAAUAAACAGCCAGAUGAAAUGAGUUCACAACAAGGUCAUACACAAAGGCAUGAAAUUGAAGUGGUUGUGGGCAUUCUGAACGCAGCAGAAGACAAAACUAAAUCGACUGGAGAACAAAUUCAGGAAAAACGAGCAGAUGGUGUCAUUCAAGAACAGAAAAAUCAAGUAAUGGAAGAUCGAAAUCUGCCGCAUGAUCGCCAAAUUAGAGAUUGCUCCAAACAGAUUCCAUAUCAUGAAGAACAAAGUCUACUAAUUGAAAAGCUGAUCGAGCUAGAAGCACUAGAGAAUCAAGUGACUGGGAAACUAAAUGAACUGCAAACUGAAAUGAGGCACAAUGUUAUUGGCCUUAGCGACCUGCAAUUAUCCCAAGAGUCAGAAAACAAUGAAGCUAUUAUGACAAACCAGACUUUUUUUCAUAUGAGCCAUGGAUUGGGAAAUGAUGUUUCAUUACUUAAAUCAAAGGCUAAAUGUAUAGAAUUGUUGAAGAGAACAAAGAAGAUUGAGGAACAGCUGAUGGACAUUAUUAAUUCAUCAAGUGUGAGGGAGGUGCCAAAGCAUGACACUCUGAAUUCUGUGAUGGAUGAACAAAAGAGGGAAAACAUAAAGAAGUCUGAGCAGAAGCAGCAAGUUGAGUUUUCUAGUCUAAAAAGGCCUCCAGAACAAGAAGUAGAAGCAUUGCAGGAGUUAUCUCAGAAUCAACAGAAGCAAGUAAAGUUUUGUGAUCAGCAUGAGGCGUCAGAAUGCCAGCCAAAAUCAACUGGAACUUCCUCUGCUGUGCCAACAAAUUCAGGACAGCUUGAAGAUGGGACCGCUAGAGCUUGAGACUUCAGAGAAAGGAUCACUUGGUUUAAAGGCAAUGUAAACAGCAAAUUUUGGGCAAAAGGCAUCCACUGAGAACUGUUCUCAUUCCCUCAACAAUGACUCAAGACAGCUUUCGUGGAUAAGAACUGAAGUUUCCUGUAGACCUCCUAAGACUUUGCAGUCACGAGAGGCCUUUGUAAUUGUUGCAAGUGACAAGUUCUCUCGAUGUACCCUUGGACUCAUAAUGACUGGAGCCAUCAGGUCAAAAGUGGCAACACCGGAAGUGUCAAGGCCAAGGUGCUUACCUCUGGAACUUGCCAUAAAUGGUUCCACAAUGGAGGCCGACGGUAGCCUUCAAGAUUAAAGUCAGAUUUUUUCAUGGCCAUUGGAUAAUGAUGAUCAGCAUCAUCUUGAGCAACAGCUGCUAAAGCAUCAACGCUGAGAUAGGCCUCCUAAAUCGAAGGGAGACAUAGAUCUAUACCCACGGCCAAUCCGAAUCAAAAUAAGCACCAAAACGCAGUGUGUUCAGACAGUAGAAGGCGUCCUACACCCAAGACAAAGGCACAUGGAGCACAACUGAUUAGUAACCUUGGAUUGUGAGCAUUGUAAUGAGAUAAAAGUAAUAGCCAGAUAAAAGAGGGAGGGUUCUAAAAUUAAGACCAGUUUUAGCUAUACAACCAUGGAGGCAUCGUCGUUUUUACUGGAGCAGGAGCAAUCAUUACAUCGAGGGCGAGGGGCUUGGGAGACACAGACAUCAUGAUAAAAGCACCGCUGACCUGACCAAAGAGAGCCAACAGCACAACCGAAGCGUCCAAAAGGGGACUGAAGGAACCUGAUGACGGUGACAAUGGUGUCAGCAGAUUCAACUUCCUGUAAAAUCUUGAGUUCUGCUGUUCCAUCACCCUCAAACGGGAACAAAAUGAGAACAGCUUGCAUUCAGACGUUGUAAGGGCAGAUUGGACAACUGGAAUGAGAUAAAAAAAAAAUCAUUUCAUUUAUCAUUACAA